rnacentral:rRNA from 1 species
UUGGGGAGCAAAGCUCUUCGGUGCCGCCGCAAACGCAUUAAGCAUUCCACCUGGGGAGUACGUUCGCAAGAAUGAGACUCAAAGGAAUUGACGGGGACCCGCACAAGCGGUGGAGCAUGUGGUUUAAUUCGAAGCAACGCGAAGAACCUUACCAGGUCUUGACAUCCCGAUGACCGGCCCGUAACGGGGCCUUCUCUUCGGAGCAUUGGAGACAGGUGGUGCAUGGUUGUCGUCAGCUCGUGUCGUGAGAUGUUGGGUUAAGUCCCGCAACGAGCGCAACCCUUAUCCUCAGUAGCCAGCAGGUAAAGCUGGGCACUCUGUGGAGACUGCCAGGGAUAACCUGGAGGAAGGUGGGGAUGACGUCAAAUCAUCAUGCCCCUUAUGAUCUGGGCUACACACGUGCUACAAUGGCGUAAACAAAGGGAGGCAAAGCCGCGAGGUGGAGCAAAUCCCAAAAAUAACGUCUCAGUUCGGACUGCAGUCUGCAACUCGACUGCACGAAGCUGGAAUCGCUAGUAAUCGCGAAUCAGAAUGUCGCGGUGAAUACGUUCCCGGGUCUUGUACA